rnacentral:rRNA from 1 species
UACGUAGGUGGCAAGCGUUGUCCGGAUUUACUGGGCGUAAAGAGCGCGCAGGCGGUCGAUCAAGUCGCGUGUGAAAGCCCCCCGGCUCAACUGGGGAGGGUCACGCGAUACUGAUCGACUCGAAGGCAGGAGAGGGUAGUGGAAUUCCCGGUGUAGUGGUGAAAUGCGUAGAUAUUAGGAAGAACACCAGUGGCGAAGGCGGCUCACUGGCUCGGUACUGACGCUGAGGCGCGAAAAGCGUGGGGGAGCAAAACAGG